GAUGAUGAUGAUGAUGAUGAUGAUGAUGAUGGUGUUGAGAUGGUCGGAUCUGAUAUGGAAAACAUGCAGAACCUCCUGGAGUUUAAGCUUGAGGAGGUGCAGUAUCUGGAGAGCCAACUAGAGAAUCAGAAUCAGCGAUAUUAUGAGUUGGAGACCUUUACCAACAGUCUUCUGACCGCUGUAAGGACCAACAACCUGGACAGACAACAGGAGCUCCUAGCCAGUCUACCUCAGCCUGCAGAUCAGGACUGGGACAUGAGUCCAGAGGAGGAGCCAACUCCAUCUCCAGAACAACACACUCUGCAGACAAUCACGAUUCCCCAUUGGCCGCCAGGAGCAACGACGAAACACCAUUGGUCAACCCCAACAAGGACCUCCCAUUGGUCACUCUAAACGAAGACGGUUCAUUGAUUGCUGAGCUCAACGAGUCGUCUGUAUCAGAGGAAGUAGAAACUGAGACCGGACCAGAGUGACUGUACUGACACACACAAACACUCCACACCCUGUGCCUGUGGAAGGAUGCUAAACUAACUGUGCUGGGCUCACAAUGCCUUUUCUAUUACUUAUCACUACGCCUUGUCUGGUCUAGUAUCAGACACAACAAUAAACAGACUCCAUAAU